CCUACGGGAGGCAGCAGUGGGGAAUCUUGCGCAAUGGGCGAAAGCCUGACGCAGCCAUGCCGCGUGAAUGAUGAAGGUCUUAGGAUUGUAAAAAUUCUUUCACCGGGGACGAUAAUGACGGUACCCGGAGAAGAAGCCCCGGCUAACUUCGUGCCAGCAGCCGCGGUAAUACGAAGGGGGCUAGCGUUGCUCGGAAUUACUGGGCGUAAAGGGAGCGUAGGCGGAUAGUUUAGUCAGAGGUGAAAGCCCAGGGCUCAACCUUGGAAUUGCCUUUGAUACUGGCUAUCUUGAGUAUGGGAGAGGUUAGCGGAACUCCGAGUGUAGAGGUGAAAUUCGUAGAUAUUCGGAAGAACACCAGUGGCGAAGGCGGCUAACUGGCCCAUUACUGACGCUGAGGCUCGAAAGCGUGGGGAGCAAACAGGAUUAGAUACCCUGGUAGUCCACGCCGUAAACGAUGAGUGCUAGUUGUCGGCAUGCAUGCAUGUCGGUGACGCAGCUAACGCAUUAAGCACUCCGCCUGGGGAGUACGGUCGCAAGAUUAAAACUCAAAUGAUAGAGCGNGAGACGNGCGACGACGACACGAGGGAGAGG
rnacentral:rRNA from 1 species